UGGGGAAUUUUGGACAAUGGGCGCAAGCCUGAUCCAGCCAUGCCGCGUGCGGGAAGAAGGCCUUCGGGUUGUAAACCGCUUUUGUCAGGGAAGAAAUCUUCUGAGUUAAUACCUCGGGAGGAUGACGGUACCUGAAGAAUAAGCACCGGCUAACUACGUGCCAGCAGCCGCGGUAAUACGUAGGGUGCAAGCGUUAAUCGGAAUUACUGGGCGUAAAGCGUGCGCAGGCGGUUUUGUAAGACAGAGGUGAAAUCCCCGGGCUCAACCUGGGAACUGCCUUUGUGACUGCAAGGCUUGAGUGCGGCAGAGGGGGAUGGAAUUCCGCGUGUAGCAGCGAAAUGCGUAGAUAUGCGGAGGAACACCGAUGGCGAAGGCAAUCCCCUGGGCCUGCACUGACGCUCAUGCACGAAAGCGUGGGGAGCAAACAGGAUUAGAUACCCUGGUAGUCCACGCCCUAAACGAUGUCAACUGGUUGUUGGGAAGGUUCCUUCUCAGUAACGUAGCUAACGCGUGAAGUUGACCGCCUGGGGAGUACGGCCGCAAGGUUGAAACUUAAAUGAAUUGACGGGGUCAUAGC
rnacentral:rRNA from 1 species